UACGAAGGGGGCUAGCGUUGCUCGGAAUUACUGGGCGUAAAGGGCGCGUAGGCGGCACUGUUAGUCAGGCGUGAAAGUCCUGGGCUCAACCUGGGAACUGCGCUUGAUACGGCAGAGCUAGAGGAUGGAAGAGGGUCGCGGAAUUCCCAGUGUAGAGGUGAAAUUCGUAGAUAUUGGGAAGAACACCAGUGGCGAAGGCGACUUACUGGACACAUAUUGACGCUGAGGUGCGAAAGCGUGGGGAGCAAACAGG
rnacentral:rRNA from 1 species